AGUGGGAUAGCUGGGUCAAAUGGUGGUUCCAUUCCAAGUUUUCUAAAGUGUCUCCAUACUGCUUUCCAGAGUGGUUGCACCAAUUUGCAUUCUCACUAGCAAU
rnacentral:pre_miRNA from 1 species